rfam:Musa acuminata subsp. malaccensis Doubled-haploid Pahang (DH-Pahang) genomic chromosome, chr8
UAAGAGGCUAUGAUGACCAAAAUCUACCUAUUUUAUGAGAGGGCUAAUCUCCUCUCUGAUUAAGGUACAUUCCAAUGGAUCCUUCUGAGCCUCCGC